rnacentral:rRNA from 1 species
CCUGGUAGUCCACGCCGUAAACGAUGAGUGCUAAGUGUUAGGGGGUUUCCGCCCCUUAGUGCUGCAGCUAACGCAUUAAGCACUCCGCCUGGGGAGUACGACCGCAAGGUUGAAACUCAAAGGAAUUGACGGGGGCCCGCACAAGCGGUGGAGCAUGUGGUUUAAUUCGAAGCAACGCGAAGAACCUUACCAGGUCUUGACAUCCUUUGACCACUCUGGAGACAGAGCUUUCCCUUCGGGGACAAAGUGACAGGUGGUGCAUGGUUGUCGUCAGCUCGUGUCGUGAGAUGUUGGGUUAAGUCCCGCAACGAGCGCAACCCUUGAUUUUAGUUGCCAGCAUUUAGUUGGGCACUCUAAAGUGACUGCCGGUGCAAGCCGGAGGAAGGUGGGGAUGACGUCAAAUCAUCAUGCCCCUUAUGACCUGGGCUACACACGUGCUACAAUGGAUAGUACAAAGGGUCGCGAAGCCGCGAGGUGGAGCUAAUCCCAUAAAACUAUUCUCAGUUCGGAUUGUAGGCUGCAACUCGCCUACAUGAAGCCGGAAUCGCUAGUAAUCGUGGAUCAGCAUGCCACGGUGAAUACGUUCCCGGGCCUUGUACACACCGCCCGUCACACCACGAGAGUUUGUAACACCCGAAGUCGGUAGGGUAACCUUUAUGGAGCCAGCCGCCGAAGGUGGGACAGAUAAUUGGGGUGAAGUCGUAACAAGGUAGCCGUAUCGGAAGGUGCGGCUGGAUCACCUCCUUUCUAAGGAA